CAUCCUCCAAGGCUAAAUACUCCUGACUGACCGAUAGUGAACCAGUACCGUGAGGGAAAGGCGAAAAGAACCCCGGCGAGGGGAGUGAAAAAGAACCUGAAACCGUGUACGUACAAGCAGUGGGAGCCCCACCACCAAAGCAUUCUCUGGUGUUGAAGGCCCUGCAAAGCAGCAUCGCGGUGGCGGAGCGUCGUUUGCGACGCCCAACACACAAAACAAGCGGUGAGUGCUUUGGGGUGGGGUGACUGCGUACCUUUUGUAUAAUGGGUCAGCGACUUAUAUUCUGUAGCAAGGUUAACCGUAUAGGGGAGCCGUAGGGAAACCGAGUCUUAACCGGGCGUUAAGUUGCAGGGUAUAGACCCGAAACCCGGUGAUCUAGCCAUGGGCAGGUUGAAGGUUGGGUAACACUAACUGGAGGACCGAACCGACUAAUGUUGAAAAAUUAGCGGAUGACUUGUGGCU
rnacentral:rRNA from 1 species